CCUGGGAGGAGAAACAGAACGCUCACGCCCUCCCAUCAAGAAAAGGAAAAAAAAAAGCCCUAGACUUCUCAUCUGAAAGCGAAACGCCUAAAAAACUGCGGCCACCGCGUUCGCUUCUCAGAUCCACGGCAGCUCAAUCACCUGGACGUGAGACAUCCCUGAAUUUUAAGAUCUGAAGAGCGAUGAGAAGGAGUCGGCGUACCGGGACGACUUACAACAGAACAAUCUUGGAGGUCAUUGGAUCAUAGCCACUUCCAGAAAAACCAGAAACGAAGCAGAAAAAACCAGAUCACGUACUCCCCUAGGUCCUCCUGAAAACAGCAAAACAAAGGUCACGUACUCUCAUUGCUUCUCCACGCGCAUGCCGCCACUGCCUACAGCCGGUCGAUCGGGCCUCUACAGCGCGCAUAUCAGGGAGCUCAGAAGGCCAGAAGCUAGCUAUGGAUGGGAACAGCUGCCGCCAUCAAAGGUUACGUAUUGCCCUUGAUUCUCCCCAGGUACAUCGGGCAUCUACGGCAUGCACAUCAGGGAAUUCAGGUUUCAAACUUACCUCAUCUCCGCAUCCAUACAGCAGGGGAGGAACUAGGUACAUGAUGGCAUGACUUGCCUCAAUGUUCGUGUGCUUAGAAGGUUGCUAUGGAAGUGAACGGAUGCCCACAAUGGAGGCCUGUGCUUGGUGAAACAUGACACCGUAUAUUGGCUAAUGAACUUAGAAGGCUCAGGACAAUCUAAUCUUUAUUAAUAUUUCCGUGGAAGGAUAUAUCUUUUCAAUGUCAACGAGGAAUACAAAAUUUCUAUGCCGCAACUUAUGCGUCAAUUGGUAACAGAGAGACUGAGAGAGUGGCAUAUGUUUUGAUUGGUAGCAGAGAGAACGUUCUGCUAUGCCAAUAUUCUUGGAUCAAUGUGCUGUCUAUGGCGAAGUACCUGCCUGAUUUGCUCUCUGCCGUGCCCUGUUAUUUAAGAAAGAAAAAUGAAGGUACACUUGGGCAGAAAGAUCAAGAAUAUUAAAACCCCCUACGAAACCUUUCCUUCAGGUUCUUGACAUUCAGGAGCAAAUCAGGGGCACCAACAUACGGUCGUUCCCAAUGUAUAGUGAUAUUUUGAGAACCCAAUCAGGAGCAAAUCAAGAAUAUUAAAACCCAAUCUACGGUUGUUCCCAAUGCUUGGUCAUGGAGCUAGGUGCUGCUACGUGACAGGUUUAUUUUUUACUGGUCCAUCUAUUUGUGCAUAAUACAACAUAAGACCUCUUAUCAGCAUCCACACUGCAAAAACAGGAUCGAGGUGUGUAUCUAUCAUGGAUCCCUAUGUAUAGUGAUAUGUAAGAAACAUAUGCCGCAUGCUACAAAGUUUCAAUUCUGUAGAUCACUGAAAAAAAAUUCUCAACAAAAUAGUGCGCUGAGAAAAUUCAACCAAAGCUGCACGCGAAGAUGAAGAAACAGCUGGCUCGGCGUAGUCAAAAUUCCAAAGAACCAAUUGGUUAAUUUGAAAUUCACAGUAAGAAAUAUUUGUGUAGACAAUAUUACUUGAUUUCUCUUACAAACAUUGGUAGUCUAUUUGGCAUUUGCCAGCGACUAUGUGUUCCAUCCUUGAAGAAACAGUAUGAAUCUUGGCUAAUUUUUCAAAAUAUCUAUUUGCAUAUGUGUAUAGUAUGCACAUGUCUUCCCAGUAGAUUCCUUUUAUCAUACUAAAUAUACUGGCUGAACCAAUUGAUAUUUCUCUGCUGACAUGAUGUUUUGAGGUUAAUAUUAGUAUGGACUCUAGAAUAUUAAUUAGGUUAACUCGAGUAAACUUUCACAAAGUAUUUAUACUGUAGUUUCCUGUAAACUGUAACGUCAGAAGUGUGUAGAUAUUUCCCGCCCUCCAUUGCAGAUGUCAAAAUCAAAUAUAUUAUAUUGUUACAUGGUAGAUGUCGGUCACAUUUUACCCUAGAAUGGCAAAAAAUAAUGAUUUCAUCUAUCUGUUUAUCAUGUAUUCAGACUAAAUAUUGACCUGUCUUACUUUAUUUCCGUUUCCCCUUCUAAACUUUGCAUCGAAAUCGUAUUGAGCAUGCUCUUAUUGCUUAGAAUAACAACAAACUAUUAUUGCGUACAAGUUAUAUAUGUGCAAUUGAUAUUUCUUAAGAUAGGUUUAACUGUGUAUGAUGUACAUGUUCUGAUCUUCAAGGUUUACAUGAAGCUUUACUUGCACACAUGGUAUCAUCACUUCACCAUAAUUGAUUGCACUUGGUAAAUUUAUAUCUGUUGUAUACUGCAUGAGCUAGCUCAAAACAAUAUAUGAAUAUAGUUCAUAGAAUCUGCAUUCAUCUUUUACAAGGUCUGAUUCUACAGAAUAGACAUCUAUUGAAAUGGUGUAUGAACAUUUUUAUGUUUUCCCCUCUCACUUCAUGAUUCUUAAAUAAACCAAUGUCCAAUAGAAUUUCAGCAACUAGGUUUCCAGCGCCAUCUCAACAUAAUUACAUCACACAAUAGGAAAUUUGGAAAACUAAAUUGUACGUGUUCAAGCAUGGAGAUCUUAGCUAUCUCUAAUAUUGCAUUAUACAAGGUCCUUAUUAAGAGGACAUUGAGUCUGCAAGAAAUUUAACAAGGAGACAUCUGAUUAAAAUGCUAGAUGUUGUACAUAACUAUUUUUCACACCCCAUGAGCAUCGUAAGACGAUGAGCUCGUGCAAAUAGAUCGUUUGUAAAUUAAAAAUAUUUUGAAGUUGAAGUUAAUUGUUUAUAACCAGUAGGUUGAUCCUAUUUUCAGAAAUUGCAAAACAAACAUGUAUUUAUUCCAGAUACCAACAAAAAUAAUUAAUUUAAAAAUCGAGGGCCCAUGAAAGAAGUGGUAGAAUCCGAUUUAUGUACCUAUUCUACAUUGUUUACUAUUGAUCAACUUGCUAAAUUGUAGAAUAGUUAUAGUUUCAUUAGUUGGAAUUAAACAACAAGACUGCCAUGCACAAAGUAAUAUGUUUUAAAUACUUUAUUCUCAAUUACAAUUACAGACCUUCGAUUUGUUGCAUAUUUUGAAACUAAAUGGGAGAUGAAUAAACUAUGCAAUAUAUGUGCAUACAUACUAAAUUACGGGCAUAUCAUCUUGACAUUUACGAAGUCACCAUAGGCCCCUCGUCAUCGAAGGGAACGUCUCCUCCCAGUCAAAGCGCAUCACCGAAAAUCCUGAAAUAAAUCCAGGAACGAGCACCAGAACUUGAACCCUGGUGGGCUGGGGAUGCGACUGUCCCUCUAACCAUCCAACCAUAUGUUGGUUCACCCCCACAAAACACACUGACAUGUUAAACAUUGGCUAAAGAAACUGAUAUAUUAAACGUGAAAAGAAAUUUUUUGACGGUCAAACUUAAGGAAAUGGAAAAUAUGCACCUUAUUAAAAUUUGAGUAACUGGGAAACGUCAGGUGGAUUUUUGGAAAAUGCAAAAUGUAUAUACAAAUUUUCUCGAGAAAUUAGGUAGGUGAUUCAUGCAUAACAUAUGUUUUAUAUUUAGAUAUCAAUGAGAACAACUAACAUAUCUAAAACAAAACUAUAUUUGCAAAGUGCUCAUAUUAUAAAAUGUUCCGACAGUUGAGUCCAAAAUUUGUAUCAACAAAACAAAUAAUAGUGUUCUCAUGAUAAAAUUUGGCAAUAUGACUAUGUUAAAUUCUUACCCGCACACAUAUUUCCUACUAAUCAAGUAUCAUUGUGAAUGGUGUCACUCCCUACAAAUAUAUAGUGCAUAUAUUUGUGUUCAUACUAAUUUUUUUUCAUGCUCCGAAUUAUUCUGAGCAUAUCCGUGUGAUCAUAUAAUACAUCAUCCACCAUAUACCAAUGAUGCCAUUUUCCAUGGCAAGCGGGACCCACACCAUAAAUAUGAUUGUUUCUGAACAAUUCGACAUAAACAUGCCUUCUAGACAACCAAAGAAAUUUCAAAGGGGAUUCCCGCUAAACCUGAAAAACACCACUACACGACCAGCUGACAAAACUACCAAAUAUUAACAUAAUUUAACAAAAUUUUAUUACAUACUAGCCCGUGCGAAUGAGCGGGCCACUAUGCUAGUUACACCAAUAUUAAUUUAGAAUGAGUUCACAAUAGUACCUAAGUGGUGAUUUAGUUUCUUAUACUA